GCAUCUCUCUCCGUCUCGCUUCCCCCUCUCUCGAUAUAAAUACUCCCUACAAAUGAAUUAGGGCAAUCUCCCUCCCUCUCCCUCGCUCUCUUUGUGAGAGAAAAAGAAGAAGAGAUUUUUCGUUUUUGCUUGGCCCUUUAUCUGAAUUGCCCGAAGCUUAACGACCUGAAUCUCAAUUCAUGUACAAACUUGCAUCCAGGCAUUGGUGAAAAAUGCAAUGGAUGCUAUGAAGGAAUCCCGCAUUCAUGAUUUUCUUGCUUCAUCGAAUGCUCUUCAAUAUAGAAAGAUGGACUUUCACACCAGCAGCUUUAUGGUCAGAAGCUAACAAACACAUCUACACACAAAUGAGAGAAAGAGGAUCCAUUCCAGUGUAAAGAAGAAUCAUCAACGCCUGAUGAAAGGGCGCCAUUCUUUGAAGUGGACAUGGUCCUUGAUGUUGUCUCCUUCCAACUUAAGGCUGGCCUACCACACCAAAUCGCCUUCCACCUUUAGAGAACCCCCAUCAACAGUGGUGGUAGAAGCAGCAGCAUUGUCACAGGGAACUUGAAGAGGAAGAUUAUUCAGCUUCGGACAUCCACUCACUCUCAGUUUCUCCAAUGUCGGCAAGCACACCUCACCACAAAUACUCUUCAGCUUAGGUAGCUCCCACAGGCACACUGUACAUAGUCGUUGGAGUGAGCCUUUAGCUACCCCUCGAAACACUGCCUCCAGUCUAUUGCAGAAUUUGAUAUGGAGAGUUUCCAGGCUUUCUAAGCAUACAGCUGAGAGGAAGACAACCACGAGUCUCGGGCAACACUCCAGCUAUAUAUGUGCAAUUCCCAAAAAAACACAACCAAGGAAAAAUUCUCUUAAUGAAGCUAGCAGCAGCGGUAGCAGUAGCAAUGACUGCAAUCCUGGAUGUAUAGCAGCAACAGCAAUGGCAGUUUGUUUGUUUUGAAAACUUUAAAUAAAUGAUUAAUUGUUUUGUUGGUAUUGUAUUGAUUGUUGUCUUGAUGGAUGUUAAAUGGGUGAAACAUGCACAGUUCAAUCAUUGGUUGAUUAUAAUAUUGUUAGCUUUUGUUGAUAGAAACUAAA